rnacentral:tRNA from 1 species
UGGUUCAAAUGGUAGAGCACCUGCCUAGCAAGCAGAAGGCCCUGAGUUCAAUUCCCAG